AGCAGCCGCGGUAAUUCCAGCUCCAAUAGCGUAUAUUAAAGUUGUUGCAGAUUAAAAAGCUCGUAGUUGAACUUCGGGGUCUACCCAUUGGUCAGGCUUAAUUGUCUGCACUGGUGAGAUGGAUCUCUACCUUCUGAGGAACUUUCAUGCCAUUUAUUUGGUGUGGUUGGAAAUCAGGACUGUUACUUUGAAAAAAUUAGGUGUUUAAAAGCAGACUAUCAGUCUGAAUACAUUAGCAUGGAAUAAUGAAAUAGGACGGACUGAUUCUAUUUCGUUGGUUUCUAGGAUCACCGUAAUGAUUAAUAGGGAUAGUUGGGGGCAUUAGUGAUUCAAUUGUCAGAGGUGAGAUUCUUGGAUUUAUUGAAGACUAACUACUGCGAAAGCAUUUGCCAAGGAUGUUUUCAUUAAUCAAUGAACGAAAGUUAGGGGAUCGAAGAACGUAUCAGGAUACCGUCGUAGUCUUAACCAUAAACUAUGCCGACUAGGGAUCGGACGAAGUUAAUUUU
rnacentral:misc_RNA from 1 species